rnacentral:misc_RNA from 1 species
AAGUAAUGGCCAAAGAUCUUAUCCGGACAAGACACCAGAUUACCAAAUUUUAUGCACUUAAAUCACAACUGCAAGGUGUAUCUCUUCGAAUCCAGACUCUGAAGUCGACACAAGCAAUGGGCGAGGCCAUGAAAGGUGUUACAAAGGCAAUGGGACAAAUGAAUCGACAGAUGAACCUGCCAGCACUGCAGAAGAUAAUGCAAGAAUUUGAGCGUCAAAACGAGAAGAUGGAGCUGGUCUCUGAGGUGAUGGCAGAUGCCAUCGACGAUGCCUUGGAAGGGGAUGAAGAAGAGGAGGAAACAGAAGAACUCGUGAGCCAGGUCCUUGAUGAGAUCGGA